GAUGAACGCUGACAGAAUGCUUAACACAUGCAAGUCAACUUGAACUUUGGUUUGGGUGGCGGACGGGUGAGUAACGCGUAAAGAACUUGCCUCACAGCUAGGGACAACAUUUGGAAACGAAUGCUAAUACCUGAUAUUAUGAUUUUAGGGCAUCCUAGAAUUAUGAAAGCUAUAUGCGCUGUGAGAGAGCUUUGCGUCCCAUUAGCUAGUUGGAGAGGUAACGGCUCACCAAGGCGAUGAUGGGUAGCCGGCCUGAGAGGGUGAUCGGCCACAAGGGGACUGAGACACGGCCCUUACUCCUACGGGAGGCAGCAGUGGGGAAUAUUGGACAAUGGACCAAGAGUCUGAUCCAGCAAUUCUGUGUGCACGAUGAAGUUUUUCGGAAUGUAAAGUGCUUUCAGUUGGGAAGAAAAAAAUGACGGUACCAACAGAAGAAGUGAUGGCUAAAUACGUGCCAGCAGCCGCGGUAAUACGUAUGUCACAAGCGUUAUCCGGAUUUAUUGGGCGUAAAGCGCGUCUAGGUGGUUAUGUAAGUCUGAUGUGAAAAUGCAGGGCUCAACUCUGUAUUGCGUUGGAAACUGUGUAACUAGAGUACUGGAGAGGUAAGCGGAACUACAAGUGUAGAGGUGAAAUUCGUAGAUAUUUGUAGGAAUGCCGAUGGGGAAGCCAGCUUACUGGACAGAUACUGACGCUGAAGCGCGAAAGCGUGGGUAGCAAACAGG
rnacentral:rRNA from 1 species